rnacentral:rRNA from 1 species
GGUGAACGCUGGCGGUGGGCCUAACACAUGCAAGUCGAGCGGAAAGACGGGAAGAGCUCGCCCUUAAGGGUGGCGAGGGGCGGGUGGGUGAGAAGUACAUAGGCAACUAAUAAUACGGGGGGAACAACGGGAGGCAGGUGACGAUAAUGGAGAAUAUGAUGUACGGGUGGGAGCAGGAGAGAAUGAGGGUUUGGGCGACACAUAGAGACGGUGUCGGAUUAGCUAGUUGGGGGGGUAAAGGCACACCAAGGCAACGAUCCGUAGCUGGCCUGAGAGGAUGAUCAGCCACACUGGAACUGAGACACGGUCCAGACUCCUACGGGAGGCAGCAGUGGGGAAUAUUGCACAAUGGGCGCAAGCCUGACCCAGCCACACCGCGUGGGUGAUGAAGGUCUUCGGAUUGUAAAGCCCUUUUAUUGGGAAAGAAAAGCUGUGUAAGUAUCUCCCCCCGUCUUGACGGUACCUAAUCAGUAAGCACCGGCUAACUUCGUG